rnacentral:rRNA from 1 species
AGGGGGCUAGCGUUGUUCGGAAUUACUGGGCGUAAAGCGCACGUAGGCGGCUUUGUAAGUUAGAGGUGAAAGCCCGGGGCUCAACUCCGGAAUUGCCUUUAAGACUGCAUCGCUAGAAUUGUGGAGAGGUAAGUGGAAUUCCGAGUGUAGAGGUGAAAUUCGUAGAUAUUCGGAAGAACACCAGUGGCGAAGGCGGCUCGCUGGGCCGGUCCUGACGCUGAGACGCGAAGGCGUGGGGAGCGAACGGG